rnacentral:sRNA from 1 species
GUAUCCGUGACCUGGACCCCUAAGAGCUAGGGG